rnacentral:rRNA from 1 species
UACAGAGGCCUCGAGCGUUAAUCGGAAUCACUGGGCUUAAAGGGUGCGUAGGCGGCGCUGCAAGUGCCUUGUGAAAUCCCAUCGCUUAACGAUGGAACUGCUCGGUAGACUGCAGUGCUUGAGGUUGGUAGGGGCUGCCGGAACUCUAGGUGGAGCGGUGAAAUGCGUAGAUAUCUAGAGGAACGCGCAAGGCGAAGGCAGGCAGGUGGGCCAAUUCUGACGCUGAGGCACGAAAGCGUGGGGAGCAAAAGGG